AUUGAACGCUGGCGGCAGGCCUAACACAUGCAAGUCGAGCGGUAGAGAGAAGCUUGCUUCUCUUGAGAGCGGCGGACGGGUGAGUAAUGCCUAGGAAUCUGCCUGGUAGUGGGGGAUAACGCUCGGAAACGGACGCUAAUACCGCAUACGUCCUACGGGAGAAAGCAGGGGACCUUCGGGCCUUGCGCUAUCAGAUGAGCCUAGGUCGGAUUAGCUAGUUGGUGAGGUAAUGGCUCACCAAGGCGACGAUCCGUAACUGGUCUGAGAGGAUGAUCAGUCACACUGGAACUGAGACACGGUCCAGACUCCUACGGGAGGCAGCAGUGGGGAAUAUUGGACAAUGGGCGAAAGCCUGAUCCAGCCAUGCCGCGUGUGUGAAGAAGGUCUUCGGAUUGUAAAGCACUUUAAGUUGGGAGGAAGGGCAUUAACCUAAUACGUUGGUGUCUUGACGUUACCGACAGAAUAAGCACCGGCUAACUCUGUGCCAGCMGCCGCGG
rnacentral:rRNA from 1 species